rnacentral:pre_miRNA from 1 species
UCUUCAUUCUGUAUGCUCUUUCACCGGUCAGAGAGGCGAGAGAGUGUUCAAAAUGAAGAGA